UACGUAGGGUCCGAGCGUUGGCCGGAAUUAUUGGGCGUAAAGAGCUCGUAGGUGGUUUGUCGCGUUGUUCGUGAAAACCGGGGGCUUAACCCUCGGCGUGCGGGCGAUACGGGCAGACUAGAGGUAUGCAGGGGAGAACGGAAUUCCUGGUGUAGCGGUGAAAUGCGCAGAUAUCAGGAGGAACACCGGUGGCGAAGGCGGUUCUCUGGGCAUUACCUGACGCUGAGGAGCGAAAGUGUGGGGAGCGAACAGG
rnacentral:rRNA from 1 species